rnacentral:rRNA from 1 species
CCUACGGGGGGCAGCAGUGGGGAAUAUUGGACAAUGGGGGGAACCCUGAUCCAGCCAUGCCGCGUGUGUGAAGAAGGCCCUCGGGUUGUAAAGCACUUUCAGUGAGGAAGAACGCCUGGUGGUUAAUACCCAUCAGGAAAGACAUCACUCACAGAAGAAGCACCGGCUAACUCCGUGCCAGCAGCCCGGUAAUACGGAGGGUGCGAGCGUUAAUCGGAAUUACUGGGCGUAAAGCGCGCGUAGGUGGCUUGAUAAGCCGGUUGUGAAAGCCCCGGGCUCAACCUGGGAACGGCAUCCGGAACUGUCAAGCUAGAGUGCAGGAGAGGAAGGUAGAAUUCCCGGUGUAGCGGUGAAAUGCGUAGAGAUCGGGAGGAAUACCAGUGGCGAAGGCGGCCUUCUGGACUGACACUGACACUGAGGUGCGAAAGCGUGGGUAGCAAACAGGAUUAGAUACCCGUGUAGUC